rnacentral:tRNA from 4 species
GCCCGCGUAGCUCAGUGGAUAGAGCGUCUGCCUCCGGAGCAGAAGGUCGUAGGUUCGAAUCCUGUCGCGGGCAC